rnacentral:Y_RNA from 1 species
GAGUCAUCGGAAGGUAGUGAGUUACCACAGUUGACUGCUCACAGUCAGAUAAGGACCCAACUCCUUAUUCCACUCUUUCCCCUUCUCACUACUGCACUUGAUUAGUCUUAA